rnacentral:lncRNA from 10 species
CGCCAAAAGCACUCCAGAUGACAAAAAUCCACUACAAAGCUCUUCUUUAAAAAGAAAGAUUCUGAGAAGUUCCAUCAAAAGAAGAAAAGAAGAAAUGAAGGGAUGGUGCCAUGAGUGAAACAAGCUGCUCAGCAGGCACUUACUAAACACCGACUACGUGCCAUGCCCAGUGUUAAGGUCUGGGGAUUGAAAGAAGAGUAGGACAGAGUCCAUCUUGGAGGCACUUUCUGUCCCAUUCCCUUCCCAGAUGCUGGAGCCACAGCUGCUUUUAGGAUUCUUGUGUCUUUCUCCGUCUCCCAAGGGGGAGGGCACUGAAGGGACAGUGUCUUGAUGUCAUAGUUAGAUCUUGGACUUUGAAGGCAAACUAGUGGGUUUGACUCUU